rnacentral:rRNA from 1 species
UUUUAUUAUGAGAGUUUGAUCCUGGCUCAGGACGAACGCUGGCGGCGUGCCUAAUACAUGCAAGUCGAACGCUUCUUUCCUCCCGAGUGCUUGCACUCGAUUGGAAAGAGGAGUGGCGG